CCUACGGGAGGCAGCAGUGAGGAAUAUUGGUCAAUGGGCGGGAGCCUGAACCAGCCAAGCCGCGUGAGGGAAGAAGGUACAGCGUAUCGUAAACCUCUUUUGUCAGGGAACAAAGGCGGGGACUAGUCCCCGGAUGAGGGUACCUGAAGAAAAAGCAUCGGCUAACUCCGUGCCAGCAGCCGCGGUAAUACGGAGGAUGCGAGCGUUAUCCGGAUUUAUUGGGGGUAAAGGGUGCGCAGGCGGUUUGUUAAGUCAGCGCGAAAAGCCCGGGGCCCAACCCCGGCGCGCCGUUGAAACUGGCAGUCUGGAGUUGGAGAGAGGUACGCGGAAUGCGCGGUGUAGCGGUGAAAUGCUUAGAUAUCGCGCAGAACCCCGAUUGCGAAGGCAGCUUACCGGCUCCACACUGACGCUGAGGCACGAAAGCGUGGGUAGCGAACAGGAUUAGAUACCCUUGUAGUC
rnacentral:rRNA from 1 species